rnacentral:rRNA from 1 species
GUAGGGAAUCUUCGGCAAUGGGGGCAACCCUGACCGAGCAACGCCGCGUGAGUGAAGAAGGUUUUCGGAUCGUAAAGCUCUGUUGUAAGUCAAGAACGAGUGUGAGAGUGGAAAGUUCACACUGUGACGGUAGCUUACCAGAAAGGGACGGCUAACUACGUGCCAGCAGCCGCGGUAAUACGUAGGUCCCGAGCGUUGUCCGGAUUUAUUGGGCGUAAAGCGAGCGCAGGCGGUUUGAUAAGUCUGAAGUUAAAGGCUGUGGCUCAACCAUAGUUCGCUUUGGAAACUGUCAAACUUGAGUGCAGAAGGGGAGAGUGGAAUUCCAUGUGUAGCGGUGAAAUGCGUAGAUAUAUGGAGGAACACCGGUGGCGAAAGCGGCUCUCUGGUCUGUAACUGACGCUGAGGCUCGAAAGCGUGGGGAGCGAACAGGAUUAGAAACCCUUGUAGUCC